rnacentral:rRNA from 1 species
UACAAGGGAGCUUGCUCCUGAAAUAUUUAGUGGCGAACGGGUGAGUAUCACGUGAGCAACCUGCCCCGAAGAUUGGGAUAACACCGGGAAACCGGUGCUAAUACCGAAUACCCCUCACACAUCGCAUGAUGAGUGAAGGGAAUGUUUUUUCGCUUCGGGAGGGGCUCGCGGUCCAUCAGCUUGUUGGCGGGGUAACGGCCCACCAAGGCUACGACGGAUAGCUGGUCUGAGAGGACGAUCAGCCACACUGGAACUGAGACACGGUCCAGACUCCUACGGGAGGCAGCAGUGGGGAAUCUUGCGCAAUGGACGAAAGUCUGACGCAGCAACGCCGCGUGAGGGACGAAGGCUUUCUGAGUUGUAAACCUCUUUCGACAGGAACGAUUGUGACGGUACCUGUAGAAGAAGCACCGGCCAACUAUGUGCCAGCAGCCGCGGUGAUACAUAGGGUGCAAGCGUUAUUC